rnacentral:rRNA from 1 species
AGUGAACGCUGGCGGUAGGCCUAACACAUGCAAGUCGAACGGCAGCACAGUAAGAGCUUGCUCUUACGGGUGGCGAGUGGCGGACGGGUGAGGAAUACAUCGGAAUCUACUUUUUCGUGGGGGAUAACGUAGGGAAACUUACGCUAAUACCGCAUACGACCUACGGGUGAAAGCAGGGGAUCUUCGGACCUUGCGCGAUUGAAUGAGCCGAUGUCGGAUUAGCUAGUUGGCGGGGUAAAGGCGCACCAAGGCGACGAUCCGUAGCUGGUCUGAGAGGAUGAUCAGCCACACUGGAACUGAGACACGGUCCAGACUCCUACGGGAGGCAGCAGUGGGGAAUAUUGGACAAAGGGCGCAAGCCUGAUCCAGCCAUACCGCGUGGGUGAAGAAGGCCUUCGGGUUGUAAGGCCCUUUUGUUGGGAAAGAAAAGCAGCAGGUUAAUACCCCGCUGUUCUGACGGUACCCAAAGAAUAAGCACCGGCUAACUUCGUG